rnacentral:misc_RNA from 1 species
AUUCUUUUGCCCAUUUGGCAAAGAUAAUUUGAAAUGUUGAGCAAAUUUGUGUGCUAAAUCUUGUUCAUACAUGAAAACAACGUAGUGAUCUGAUUAAUGUAUCUGUCAUGAGCGGAUAACUUUUUAAAAGUCUGCUUAUGUUCAAUUGAUUGCAAAGAUAGCAUCCUUCUAAAGUCGCGUGUUUUGGUGGCAUUUUUGUUUGUAAUUGCAGAGAAAUGUAAUUUUUGUUAUUAUUUUAUUUCCUUCCGUUGAAUAUAGUUGAGAAAACAGCAUUGAACAAGUCCAAGCAAGGUGAUUGAUAUACGG